GUGAUGGACAUCCCCUCAGUUUCUAAUUCAGUACCUCCAUAAAAAGAGCUGCUCUAUCCUGUGUGCAGAUGAGAGAACCAAGAAUGGAUGAACUGCCAGGCUGUUAAGAAAGUCAUUGAACAAUUAAAGCUAUUAAGAAGAACACAGUAAUCAUUCACCAAGCAAUGGAUUCAGCUUUGAUCUUUGCAGAGUAAAUUUAUUAGUAUCAUUAGGAAAUAAUGCAAGUACAUAUUAUAAUUCUGGUUAAUGUUACUCAGUCUUCCUCUGCCUUGGCUUUCCCACUUGAAAAUGGCAAAAACUACCUAUUCAUGCUGUGGGUAUGAACGUAACACAAUAAAAUGUCAUUUUGUAUCAUUUUGAUACAGAAUGUGAUACCAUUCAGUUACUGAAGACUUUGCCAGGGGAGUACAAGGGAAAAGGAUCAGGAUGGCCCCAGCUGAGGACUAGCCUAAUCCAGGGGCCCAAAGCCUCAUUUGGAGAUGAACUCAAGGCAAUGAAUUUUUCAAAUAAUACACAAGGAUAGUCCAUCGUGAAUGAGUAAAUUGAAGAAAACCUGCAAACAGAAGCAAUGGAUGGAGGUUUGCAGAGCUGUCAAUCAAGGAGCAUUCAGGAGAAGAAUGUGACCAGGAGGAGACUGUUUAAAAGAAACACCCAAACUGUUGGAGACUCUUUCUCCUGAAACAUGAAGGAGGAAGGACUGAGAAGAUCCUUUCCUUACUAAUUUUCUCUCUAUUGUAUUUAGAAGUGACUCAAAGAUCCUCAAACCUGUUAGCCACAUCUCUCAUCUAAGACUCUACAAUAUUAUUCUCAAUUUAGGAUUAUUUAAGAUCAGGGAAACCCUAAAUCCUCUCUCUUAUCCAAUUUCCCUUUCCUUCCCCAGCCUUAAAUAAACCCCUUGUUCCAAUUA